ensembl:lncRNA
CUGGGGAAGGUAGGCAGAAAAGCACCGGAAAGAGUCACCAUGUAAACAGCAAAGAAGUAGCAGGUCCAGGCAUUCUCCGGCAGCGGGACCUGUCGGGACAAGAAAACACAGAAACAUCAGUCUUGUGCAGAUCUCCUUUGGGUGAUGACGGUUCGAAUGAUGCCUGGAGGCCUGCAUUCCAUAGCCUCACAGAAAAUAAGUCACACACGCAAAGAAUGCAAGUCAUGUAUGCCUGCAUCUUCCUUCAAAUUCUAGGAAAAGUAAGCAAAACACCAGACAGGGAGGACUGUGGCAGAGAGAGGACACAGCAGUCAGAAGCUCUGGGCUCACAUACCAGCCCAUCGCACGUUUGUUUCCCUAGACCUCACUUUCCUCAGCUGCAAAAUGUUUUGGUAUGGACACCUACGAGGUGGUGGUGGUACACUGAAGAUCAAGUUGGUAGAGGUAAAAAGACAGAUCCAUGCUUACGGUUAUUGUGAAGACUAUCUAGAAAGCCUUUCUUCAACCUUCAUUACCAUCUUGGAAAAUCUCAAACCACAGAUUUCUCUUUUCCUGUGCUUUCUACAGUAGCUCACACUUCUCCCUAAGACCUAUUAUCCAGUCCCACACACACCUCUUAGGUCAUGUACUCCAGCUCAAGGACCAGGACCAUACCUUAUACAGGGCUUCCAAAGAACUAGCAUUCAAUACCAUACAGUAUUCACUCAGUUGCAUACAGUAGUCACUCAAUAGCAUCCAGUAGGCAUUCAAUAGCAUCCAGGAGGCAUCCAGUGUGUGCUUAUUGCAGAAAGCGAUGUGAUACUCGGAUUUCUUCAACCUAGCACCAGUCCAGACGGAUGAAAAGAACACCAAGAGAAAUACCUCCAGACGUCUAUGGUUAUCUAGUAGCAAGCUCUGCCCUCUGAUCUUCAGACAAGCUUUAUUUGUACAAGCAAGAUAUCACCACAGUGCUUUGUUUGCCAUAGAAAAGACUUUUGUCCCUUCUCCCUUUCUCUACCACCUUCUCUCUUCUCCCCAUGCUUUCUGCUCCACCAACCCCUCGUCCCUCCUCUCAUAAUCCAGUUCUGUGGGAACUUGAUCCAGUACCACAUUUCAGGGCUCUGGCCCAAGAAAGAGGAAGAAAAGAAGAUGAGAGAUCAGAUGUCCCUUCGGGUACCAGAAUGAGCUCCAUGGGCAAAUUCAACAAGGAUCUUGGGAUGAGACUUCCUCUCUCUGCCCAUCACUUUGGAUCUUACUUUGCAAGCCUGCUCUAUAGCCAAAGAGCUGACAGCUGCUGAGUUGCUAUCUUCAGUCAUGAAUAGCAACAGAGCAGGAAGGUGACCUACUGCAGGUCACAGAUUGGGUGGACUCUAGGAACAUGGGACCACUGAGGUGGUUUAAAAGAAAAUUGCCCCCAAAAGGAGUGGCACUCUUAGGGAUUGUGGCCUUCUUAGAGGAAGUGCAGCACUGUGGAGGCGGGCUUUGAAGUCUCUUUUGCUCAAGCUUCCCUCAGUGUGACAGCCAGUCAACUUCCUGCUGCUUGCAAGAUGUAGGACACGCAACUAUUUCUCCUGCACCAUGCCUGCCUGCACCAUUCCUGCCAUGAUGAUAAUGGGUUGAACUUAUGAACUGUGAGGCACCACAAUUAAAUGUUUUCUUUAUAAGAUGUGCCAUGGUCAUAGUGUCUUUUCCCAGCAAUAAAAUCCCUAACUAAGAGAACCACAUAAGACGAUCCAUAGAUUCAUGGUGUUCAGAGCAUGGUUUCUGUACUCAAAU